rnacentral:tRNA from 1 species
ACGGUUGUGACGAAAUAGGUAGACGUAGUAUGCUUAGGACAUAUUGAUGAAAAUCAUAAGGGUUCGAGUCCCUUCUUCCGUA